CCUACGGGAGGCAGCAGUGGGGAAUAUUGGUCAAUGGGGGGAACCCUGAUCCAGCGACGCCGCGUGAGUGAAGAAGUAUUUCGGUAUGUAAAGCUCUAUCAGCAGGGAAGAAAGAAAUGACGGUACCUGACUAAGAAGCCCCGGCUAACUACGUGCAAGCAGCCGCGGUAAUACGUAGGCGGCAAGCGUUAUCCGGAUUUACUGGUUGUAAAGGGAGGGGAGACGGUUACGCAAGUCUGGUGUGAAAGGCGGUGGCCCAACCCCCGGACUGCUUUGGAAACUGUAUAACUGGAGUGCAGGAGAGGUAAGUGGAAUGCCUGGUGUAGCGGUGAAAUGCGUAGAUAUUAGGAAGAACACCGGUGGCGAAGGCAGCUUACGGGACUGUAACUGACGUUGAGGCUCGAAAGCGUGGGGAGCAAACAGGAUUAGAUACCCUGGUAGUC
rnacentral:rRNA from 1 species